GGCCUAGUAGCAUAGUGGUAAUGCCUCCAUUUUCUGUAGCGUUGUAUCAACUCUUCCAAGGGGGGAACCCUCGUUCGAUUCGAGGCCGGGCCA